GAUGAAGAACGUAGUGAAAUGCGAUAAGUAAUGUGAAUUGCAGAAUUCAGUGAAUCAUCGAAUCUUUGAACGCACCUUGCGCCCUUUGGCCAUUCCGAAGGGCAUGCCUGUUUGAGUAUCAUGAACACCUCAACUCUUCAUGGUUUUCCAUGAUGAGCUUGGACUUUGGGGGUCUUGCUGGCCUGUGGGUCGGCUCCUCUCAAAUGAAUCAGCUUGCCAGUUUUUGGUGGGCAUCACAGGUGUGAUAACUAUCUACGCUUGUGGUUUUCCACCAGGGUAACCUUCAGCAGUGGAGGUUCACUGGAGCUUACAAAUGUCUCUCCUCUGUGAGGACAGCCCUUUGAAUGUUUGAUCUCAAAUCAGGUAGGACUACCCGCUGAACUUAAGCAUAUCAAUAAGCGGAGGA
rnacentral:misc_RNA from 1 species